rfam:Heterocephalus glaber contig240203, whole genome shotgun sequence.
GGGGAUGUAGCUCAGUGGCACAGCGUCUGCCUGGCAAGUACGAGGUCCUGAGUUCAAACCCCAGUACCAUUU